rnacentral:rRNA from 1 species
UACGUAGGGUGCAAGCGUUGUCCGGAAUUAUUGGGCGUAAAGAGCUCGUAGGCGGUUUGUCGCGUCGAAUGUGAAAUCCCGGGGCUCAACCCCGGGUCUGCAUUCGAUACGGGCAGACUAGAGUUCGGUAGGGGAGACUGGAAUUCCUGGUGUAGCGGUGAAAUGCGCAGAUAUCAGGAGGAACACCGGUGGCGAAGGCGGGUCUCUGGGCAACAACUGACGCUGAGGAGCGAAAGCGUGGGGAGCGAACAGG